GUCUAAAGCCAUGCUACCUUGAACAAGCCCGAUCCCGUCUGAUCUCAGAAGCUAAGGAGGGUCGGGCCAGUUCAGUAUUUGGAUGGGAGACCACUUAAGAAGACCAAGCAUAAAAA
rnacentral:rRNA from 1 species